AUUAGGAGGUUUGUCCCUUCACCCGUCGCCGCACUCUCGACCUAAUCCCGUCCCGGGAUCCUCCCAGAUCUGAUCUAGCCAACCAUGCGCAGCAAACCCCCCUUCCUCAUUUUCAGAUCCACCAUCCAUCCCUUCGAUCCAUCUUCAGUCAACGAGCGCCAACGCUCAAAUCCCGCAGGGGCCGAUGCCCUCUGCGCCUCGAUCCAUCCUCACCUGCAAGAUCAGCUCCAUCCACUCCAUUCCCGCCACAGAUGAGCAUCACACAUCCCUUUUCCUUCUCUUGUCGUCCUCGUCUCUCAACUCUCUCUCAUCUCUCUCUCUUAUCUUCACCAGGAGAUAAACACCAAUCGAAGAUGCAGCACCGCCCUGAGCUCCGUCCGUGACACCAAGAACCGUGCAGCGCCACCGCCCAUGGAACUCCUCCGCCAUGGUCGCCAGGUACCAUGGUCUCCGCUGCUUCCGCUUCGAUCCGGCAGGAAACGAGACCCGAAGGCUUCUCGCGCUUGGAUCCGAACGCCACCGAGCUCCCGCGCCGACCCCUCCUCAUCCUGCCGCUCUCCGGAUUCCUCAGCGCCGCCAUGCCUGCUGUUUGCUUCACUGAACCGGCCGCCAAGUCCCACAUCGCUGCUGCUCUUUUUCCCGUUGAGAAGAGGAGGACGCCGCAUCUUCCCCGAGUCAUUCGAGCGAGCGCGAUGACCUUUCCCCGACCGAACCAAGCAGGUCGGCCCAGCGCGCCCCUGCCAGCCUCUCCCUCUCCAGCGACCGGGCCAAAGCCCAAGGGGUGAGCUGCUUCCCAGCGCCUCUCUGUUGGCCCAAAAAUAGAUUCGGCCCAAUGUAUUUUUUUCCUUGUAUGUGUUUUUAGCAAUUAAACAUGAGACUGCAGUUUUGCAGGAAAA